rnacentral:rRNA from 1 species
GAUGAACGCUAGCGGCAGGCCUAACACAUGCAAGUCGAGGGGUAACAGGGAGUGCUUGCACUUUGCUGACGACCGGCGCACGGGUGCGGAACGCGUAUGGAACCUGCCCCUGUCAGGGGAAUAGCCCAGAGAAAUUUGGAUUAAUGCCCCAUGGUAUCGAACCACCGCAUGGUGAUUUGAUUAAAGAUUUAUCGGACAGGGAUGGCCAUGCGUGCCAUUAGCUUGUUGGUAAGGUAACGGCUUACCAAGGCAACGAUGGUUAGGGGCCCUGAGAGGGGGAUCCCCCACACUGGUACUGAGACACGGACCAGACUCCUACGGGAGGCAGCAGUGAGGAAUAUUGGACAAUGGCCGAAAGGUUGAUCCAGCCAUGCCGCGUGCAGGAUGACGGCCCUAUGGGUUGUAAACUGCUUUUGUACGGGAAGAAACCACCCCUCGUGAGGGGAACUGACGGUACCGUACGAAUAAGGACCGGCUAACUCCG